CUCUGGAUAUCUCAGUCAGUAGAACAUCAGACUUUUAAUCUGAGGGUUCAGGGUUUAAGACCCUGUUCGGGUG
rnacentral:tRNA from 1 species